rnacentral:rRNA from 1 species
AUUGAACGCUGGCGGCAGGCCUAACACAUGCAAGUCGAGCGGAUGAAGGGAGCUUGCUCCUGGAUUCAGCGGCGGACGGGUGAGUAAUGCCUAGGAAUCUGCCUGGUAGUGGGGGAUAACGUCCGGAAACGGGCGCUAAUACCGCAUACGUCCUGAGGGAGAAAGUGGGGGAUCUUCGGACCUCACGCUAUCAGAUGAGCCUAGGUCGGAUUAGCUAGUUGGUGGGGUAAAGGCCUACCAAGGCGACGAUCCGUAACUGGUCUGAGAGGAUGAUCAGUCACACUGGAACUGAGACACGGUCCAGACUCCUACGGGAGGCAGCAGUGGGGAAUAUUGGACAAUGGGCGAAAGCCUGAUCCAGCCAUGCUGCGUGUGUGAAGAAGGUCUUCGGAUUGUAAAGCACUUUUAGUUGGGAAGAAGAGCAGUAAGUUAAUACCUUGCUGUUUUGACGUUACCAACAGAAUAAGCACCGGCUAACUUCGUG